rnacentral:rRNA from 1 species
GACGAACGCUGGCGGCGUGCUUAACACAUGCAAGUCGAACGCUGAAGCUCAGCUUGCUGGGUGGAUGAGUGGCGAACGGGUGAGUAACACGUGAGUAACCUGCCCUCUUCUUUGGGAUAACGCCCGGAAACGGGUGCUAAUACUGGAUAUUCACUGAUUCUCGCAUGGGGGUUGGUGGAAAGGUUUUUUCUGGUGGGGGAUGGGCUCGCGGCCUAUCAGCUUGUUGGUGGGGUGAUGGCCUACGAAGGCUUUGACGGGUAGCCGGCCUGAGAGGGUGACCGGUCACAUUGGGACUGAGAUACGGCCCAGACGACUACGGGAGGCAGCAGUGGGGAAUAUUGCACAAUGGGCGAAAGCCUGAUGCAGCGACGGCGCGUGAGGGAUGGAGGCCUUCGGGUUGUAAGCCUCUUUCGCUCAUGGUCAAGCCGCAGCUUUGGGUUGUGGUGAGGGUAGUGGGUAAAGAAGCGCCGGCUAACUACGUG